ensembl:lncRNA
AGAAAAGCUGCUUAUGUAAGAGAAUGGCUCAUUAAUGUUUUGUGUGUGUGUGUGUGUGUGUGUGUGUGUGAUGAGUUUAUACAGGGAUGAGAGGCUGAUGGGGUGAGAGAGAUAGUGACAGUAGAGACAGUCUGGAAGAGAAUGAGUAGAAAGAAAGAAAACUGAGAGGUCUCCACCAGAUGAUGACGAGAGAGAGGGAGGUAAUGGCUAGCGAGAGAGAGUGAUAGAGAGAGGUAAAUGGCUAGAGAGAGAGAGUGAUAGAGAGAGGUAGAUGGCUAGAGAGUGAGGGUGAUAGAGAGAGGUAGAUGGCUAGAGAGAGAGAGUGGUAGAGAGAGGUAGAUGGCUAGAGAGAGAGUUAUACAGAGAGGGCUCUUCACCAGAUGAGGGCAUCUGAGAGGCUCUCCACAUGAGAACCAGCUGGGGUCUGAGAUUAUCCAUCCAUCUUUUUUUCUCUCUCUUCUGUCUCUCCUCCCUCUGUUGCUCCUCUCUCUCUCUCUCUCUCUCUCUCUCUCUCUGUCUCUCUCUCUCUCUCUCUCUCUCUCUCUCUCUCUCUCUCUCUCUCUCUCUCUCUCUCUCUCUCUCUCUCUCUCGCUAUCAUGCCCUCGUCUCUCUCUCUCUGGUGAAG